AUUGAACGCUGGCGGCAUGCCUUACACAUGCAAGUCGAACGGCAGCACGGGUGCUUGCACCUGGUGGCGAGUGGUGAACGGGUGAGUAAUACAUCGGAACGUACCUUAUCGUGGGGGAUAACGCAGCGAAAGCUGUGCUAAUACCGCAUACGCCCUGAGGGGGAAAGCGGGGGAUCGCAAGACCUCGCGCGAUUAGAGCGGCCGAUGCCUGAUUAGCUUGUUGGCGGGGUAAAAGCCCACCAAGGCGACGAUCAGUAGCUGGUCUGAGAGGACGAUCAGCCACACUGGGACUGAGAAACGGCCCAGAAUCCUACGGGAGGCAGCAGUGGGGAAUUUUGGACAAUGGGGGCAACCCUGAUCCAGCAAUGCCGCGUGAGUGAAGAAGGCCUUCGGGUUGUAAGGCUCUUUUGUCAGGGAAGAAACACCGGCUCUAACACAGUCCGGGAAUGACGGUACCUGAAGAAUAAGCACCGGCUAACUACGUGCCAGCCGCCGCCGUAA
rnacentral:rRNA from 1 species